rnacentral:piRNA from 1 species
UUCUUUCUACACAGUCCAGGACUCAAGGCCA